rnacentral:rRNA from 1 species
AGAAAGUUAAUAAGGGCGCACGGGGGAUGCCUUGGCUCUCAGAGGCGAUGAAGGACGUGAUAAGCUGCGAAAAGUAUCGGGGAGUGGCAAAUACGCAUUGAUCCGGUAAUGUCCGAAUGGGGAAACCCGGCAGGUUGAAGGCCUGUCAUAUCGAAAGAUAAGCAAACGCGGUGAACUGAAACAUCUAAGUAGCCGUAGGAGAAGAAAACAAUAGUGAUUCCCCAAGUAGUGGCGAGCGAACGGGGAGCAGCCCAAACCAAGGUUGUUACGGCAAACUUGGGGUUGUAGGACUGUAAUGUGGACUAUAAAUAGGUAGCUGAAUUGAUCUGGAAAGGUUAACCAAAGGGGGUGAAAGUCCUGUAAGCGAAAUCUAUUUAUUACCUAACAGUAUCCUGAGUACCGCGGGACCGGAGAAAUCCUGUGGGAAACAAGCGGCACCAUCCGCUAAGGCUAAAUACUCCUGAGAGACCGAUAGUGAACCAGUACUGUGAAGGAAAGGUGAAAAGAACCCCGAACAGGGGAGUGAAAUAGAACCUGAAACCGUGCGCUUACAAGCGGUCGGAGUCCUGUAACAGGGAUGACGGCGUGCCUUUUGCAUAAUGAGCCUACGAGUUACUUUUACUAGCAAGGUUAAGGGCAAAGAUGUCCGCAGCCGAAGCGAAAGCGAGUCUGAAUAGGGCGCUUAGUUAGUAGGAGUAGACGCGAAACUUUGUGAUCUACCCAUGACCAGGUUGAAGCUUCGGUAAAACGAAGUGGAGGACCGAACCAGUUGACGUUGAAAAGUCUUUGGAUGAGUUGUGGGUAGGGGUGAAAGGCUAAUCAAACUGAGAGAUAGCUCGUACUCCCCGAAAUGCCUUUAGGGGCAGCCUCAGGGUCGAGUGUCAUAGAGGUAGAGCUACUGAUUGGAUGCGGGGGCUUCACCGCCUGCCAAAUCCUGACAAACUCCGAAUGCUAUGACAUAUACCUGGGAGUGAGGCUACGGGUGCUAAGGUCCGUGGCCGAGAGGGAAAGAACCCAGACCAUCAGCUAAGGUCCCAAAAUGUAUGUUAAGUUGAAAUAACGAGGUUCGAUUGCAUUGACAGCUAGGAUGUUGGCUUGGAAGCAGCCAUUCAUUUAAAGAGUGCGUAACAGCUCACUAGUCGAGCGAUUGAGCAUGGAUAAUAAUCGGGCAUAAAACAUACUACCGAAGCUAUGGAUUGUAUUUAUACACUGGUAGGGGAGCAUUCCGAUCUGCGUAGAAGGUGAAUCGUAAGGUUUGCUGGAGCGUUCGGAAAAGCAAAUGUAGGCAUAAGUAACGAUAAUGCGGGUGGGAAACCCGCACACCGGAAGACCAAGGGUUCCUGAUCAACGCUAAUCGGAUCAGGGUUAGUCGGGUCCUAAGGCGUAGCCGAAAGGCGAAGUCGAUGGACAAAUGGUUAAUAUUCCAUUACUAGCAUAUACUGCGAUGGAGGGACGAAGGAGUGAAAGAUCUGCGUACUUACGGAAUAGUACGUUAAAGGGUGUAGGUAUAGGGGGUACAGGCAAAUCCGUACCUUUUGCUAAAGCCCGAUAGUACCGCGAGUCUUCGGAUGAGUGGAUAAUGAUCCUAAUCAGACUUCCGAGAAAAACUUCUAAGCUUCAGGUAUAUGCUACCCGUACCGUAAACCGACACAGGUGGUCGAGGAGAAUAUCCAAAGGUGCUCGAGUGAUUCACAGCUAAGGAACUAGGCAAAUUAACCCUGUAACUUCGGGAGAAAGGGUCCCUACGGGAGUAGGGCGCAGAGAAAUGGCUCAGGCGACUGUUUAACAAAAACACAUGGCUUUGCAAAAUUGAAAGAUGACGUAUAAGGCCUGACACCUGCCCGGUGCUGGAAGGUUAAGAGGAGGAGUUAGUCGCAAGGCGAAGCCCUGAAUUGAAGCCCCAGUAAACGGCGGCCGUAACUAUAACGGUCCUAAGGUAGCGAAAUUCCUUGUCGGGUAAGUUCCGACCUGCACGAAUGGUGUAACGAUCUGAGCACUGUCUCAGCUGUGAGCUCGGUGAAAUUGAAGUAACGGUGAAGAUGCCGUUUACCCGCAACGGGACGGAAAGACCCCGUGAACCUUCACUACAACUUAACAUUGACUUUGAAUAAAUGAUGUGUAGGAUAGGUGGGAGACAAUGAAGCAUGGGCGCUAGCUUGUGUGGAGUCAACGUUGAAAUACCACCCUUUGUUUAUUUGAAGUCUAAUCUGAUAAGAUCAGAGACAGUGUUUGGUGGGUAGUUUGACUGGGGUGGUCGCCUCCAAAAGAGUAACGGAGGCUUUCAAAGGUACCCUCAGCACGCUUGGUAACCGUGCGUAGAGUGCAAAGGCAUAAGGGUGCUUGACUGUGAGACCUACAAGUCGAGCAGGUACGAAAGUAGGACUUAGUGAUCCGGUGGUUCCGUAUGGAAGGGCCAUCGCUCAAAGGAUAAAAGGUACUCCGGGGAUAACAGGCUGAUCACUCCCAAGAGCUCAUAUCGACGGAGUGGUUUGGCACCUCGAUGUCGGCUCGUCACAUCCUGGGGCUGGAGAAGGUCCCAAGGGUUCGGCUGUUCGCCGAUUAAAGUGGCACGCGAGCUGGGUUCAGAACGUCGCGAGACAGUUCGGUCCCUAUCUGUUGUGGGCGUUAGAAAUUUGAGAGGAGCUGACUCUAGUACGAGAGGACCGAGUCGGACGAACCGCUGGUGUACCUGUUGUUGUGCCAACGGCAUCGCAGGGUAGCUACGUUCGGAUGAGAUAAGUGCUGAAAGCAUCUAAGUACGAAACUCGCCUCAAGAUGAGAUUUCUUUUAAGGGUCGUUAAAGACGAUGACGUUGAUAGGCUGCAGAUGUAAAAUCAGAGAUGGUUGUAGUCGAGCAGUACUAAUUACCCGUAGACUUUUCAU